GAGGAAAGCGGGCGGCGUGCCUAAUACAUGCAAGUCGAGCGAACGGACGAGAAGCUUGCUUCUCUGAUGUUAGCGGCGGACGGGUGAGUAACACGUGGAUAACCUACCUAUAAGACUGGGAUAACUUCGGGAAACCGGAGCUAAUACCGGAUGAUAUUUUGAACCGCAUGGUUCAAAAGUGAAAGACGGUCUUGCUGUCACUUAUAGAUGGAUCCGCGCUGCAUUAGCUAGUUGGUAAGGUAACGGCUUACCAAGGCAACGAUGCAUAGCCGACCUGAGAGGGUGAUCGGCCACACUGGAACUGAGACACGGUCCAGACUCCUACGGGAGGCAGCAGUAGGGAAUCUUCCGCAAUGGGCGAAAGCCUGACGGAGCAACGCCGCGUGAGUGAUGAAGGUCUUCGGAUCGUAAAACUCUGUUAUUAGGGAAGAACAUAUGUGUAAGUAACUGUGCACAUCUUGACGGUACCUAAUCAGAAAGCCACGGCUAACUACGUG
rnacentral:rRNA from 1 species